rnacentral:rRNA from 1 species
GCGGAGGGAUCAUUACAGAGUUGCAAAACUCCCUAAACCAUUGUGAACGUUACCUUUACCGUUGCUUCGGCGGGCGGCCCGGGUCCUGCCCGGCGCCCCUCGGCCCCUCGCGGGCGCCCGCCGGAGGAAAACCAAACUAUUGCAUUGUAUGGCCUCUCUGAGUCUUCUGUACUGAAUAAGUCAAAACUUUCAACAACGGAUCUCUUGGUUCUGGCAUCGAUGAAGAACGCAGCGAAAUGCGAUAAGUAAUGUGAAUUGCAGAAUUCAGUGAAUCAUCGAAUCUUUGAACGCACAUUGCGCCCGCCAGUAUUCUGGCGGGCAUGCCUGUUCGAGCGUCAUUUCAACCAUCAAGCCCCAGGCUUGUGUUGGGGACCUGCGGCUGCCGCAGGCCCUGAAAACCAGUGGCGGGCUCGCUGUCACUCCGAGCGUAGUAGUUUACAUCUCGCUCAGGGCGUGCUGCGGGUUCCGGCCGUUAAAAGCCUUAUUUUACCCAAGGUUGACCUCGGAUCAGGUAGGAAGACCCGCUGAACUUAAGCAUAUCAAUAAGCGGAGGA